AACGGUCUAUACCUGCGGUACCUGCGGAAGGAUCAUUAUAGAGUGGUAAACCUCCCGUAAAAAGGGGGGGACCUCCCGUCCUUUGCAGGCUCUUUUUUAAGGGGCUUUUUUGACUUUCUGCUUCGGUGGGGUUAUCCUACCGGAACAACUUCAAAACUCUGAAUCAAAAAAAUCGUUCUGUCCGAGGGCUUUUUUAUAAAAUAAAAAAAAACUUUUAACAAUGGAUCUCUAGAUCGGAAG
rnacentral:misc_RNA from 1 species